GUGUGAAUCUGUGUUUGUAUGUGUAAGGGCUGCAAGGUGUGUUUCUGUGUAUGUACGGGAUGCAGUGUGUGCGUCUGUAAGGGGUGCAUUGAGUGUGUGUACGGGGUGCAUUUAGUGUGUGUAAGGAAUGCAUUGUGUGUUUCUGUGUGUGUAAGAUUUGCAUGAUUGUGCGAUUGUGCGAGUGUGUGUGAUGGAUGUCAAUCUCUCUCCCUCCCUUGUCACUCUCUUUCUCCCCCUCUCUCCCUCCCUUGUCACUCUCUUUCUUCCCCUCCCUCCCUCCCUCCCUCCUUCCCUUGUCACUCUCUUUCUCCCCCUCCCUCAUCACUCUCUUUCUCCCCCUCCUUCCCUCCCUUGUCACUCUCUUUCUCCCCCUCCCUUGUCACUUUUCCCUCCUUCCCUCCCUCCCUCCUUGUCACUCUCUUUCUCCCCCUCCUUCCCUUGUCCUCUCUUUCUCCCCUUCCUCCCUUGUCCUCUCUCCCCCUCCUCCUUGUCACUCUCUUUCUCCCCCCUCCCUCCCUCGUCCUCUCUUUCUCCCCUCCCUUCCUCCUUGUCACUCUCUUUCUCCCCCUCCCUCUCUCUUUCUCCCCUCCUGUCCUCUCUUUCUCCCCCCUCCCUCCCUCCUCCUCUCUCUUUCUCCCCUCCCUCCCUCCUUGUCCUCUCUUUCUCCCCUCCUUCCUCCUUGUCACUCUCUUUCUCCCCUCCUUCCUCCUUGUCCUCUCUUUCUCCCCUCCCUCCCUCGUCACUCUCUUUCUCCCCCUCCUCCCUUUCUCCUCCCUUGUCCUCUCUUUCUUCCCCCCCUCCCUCCCUUGCUCUCUUUCUCCCCCUCCCUCCUUGUUCUUUGUCACUCUCUUUCUCCCCUCCCUUGUCACUCUCUUUCUCCCCCUCCUUGUCACUCUUUCUCCCCCCUCUCCCUCCUUGUCCUCUCUUUCUCCUCCCUCCCCCCCCCCCCGGUUCCUACGCCCAUGGGUGUCUACAAUGGACUGGUAUUCCUGGGGACUAAGCCUAUUAUAGGCAUGAAGCGUUUUUGCACAUAUUGAUUAUUUUUGCUCUUUUUUUAAAUGUGUCUGUGUUAUUUUCCUCAAAUUAGCAUUUAGUUAUCCUAUUUAUAUACUCUUUAUUUUCUUCUGGUAUUAAUAAAGUAUUAUCCAGUUUCUAAUCUGGUCUAAAUGGUGAAACUAAUUGAUCUUUGAUUUCCAUUAUCAUUCCAUUGUGAUCUGUCCAUGUUACUUAUUUUAUGUAUAUAUUUUUAAUUUGUUGUAUGAGGGAGUUCUUCCCCAAAAAAUUCUAUAUGGGAGUACGAAUAAUGUACCCUAGAAAAGUGUGUAAAAUCUUUCUCGUGUGGAUGUACCAUUCUCCAUAAACUAUAUUCCCCCAAAAGUGACUGAAUGGUUCUAGAUUGAUUUUUGACUUUGUUAACCAUUGCAUUUCUUUCUAGAUAUUUCUUAUCCAUUUUAUAGUCUAGUACCAUAUUAAAGGACCACUAUAGUGCCAGGAAAACAUACUAGUUUUCCUGGCACUAUAGUGCCCUGAGGGUGCCCCCACCCUCAUGGCCCCCCUCCCGCCGGGCUGGAUGGAUGGAGAGGAAGGGGUUAAACUUACCUCUUUUUCCAGCGCCGGGCGGGGAGCUCUCCUCCUCCUCUCCGCCUCAUCUCCUCCUCUUCGGCUGAAUGCACAUGAAUGGCAGGAGCCGCGUUCUCAAUGCUUUCCUAUGGACGCUGGCAUCUUCUCACUGUGAUUUUCACAGUGAGAAGCGCGGAAGCCCUUUAGCGGCUGUCAAUGAGACAGCCACUAGUGGCUGGAUUAACCCUAAUAUAAACAUAGCAGUUUCUCUGAAACUGCUAUGUUUAUAGAAAAAAGGGUUAACCCUAGCUGGACCAGGCACCCAGACCACCUCAUUAAGCUGAAGUGGUCUGGGUGCCUAUAGUGGUCCUUUAAGAUCACCGGCCAUUUCUAAUACGCCCUGUGUGAUAUUUUCCAAUUUGUUGCAUAUUUUUUCUUAGGAGACCGACUGGGCCUUUAUUAGGUGCAUAUACAUUUACCAAAGUAUACAAUACCUCAUUUAUCUUGCAUAUCAGUAUAAUGUAUCUGGCAUUAAAGUCAAUCUCUUGGUAAAUAUUAUCAAAAUUUGUGUAAUAGGAUAUUAAAAUUGCGACUCCUUUUUUUUGUUUACUAAGGUGGAAUCUACUUUAUUAGAAUAUCCCUUUAAUUAAGUUGUUUGUUUUUUUUUACUUAAGCUUUUCAAAAAAAUUCCUGGUUCACCUUGACCAAGCAGGCUUUAUUACCGGGAGAGAGGCUAAAAACAACACUACAAAAGUAUUAAAUCUUAUUUGCUCGUCUAAAUUUUCACAAUCAUCUGACCUAUUACUCUUCAUAGAUGCUGAGAAAGCAUUUGACAGAGUGUAUUCGUUUAUCAUGGUGGCGACGUUGAAGUACAUGGGCUUUGGCCCUAACUAAUCUACGCAAAGCAUUGUCUGCUUUUAUUUGGUUGUAUAAACUCUUUGGAAAUGCUUACACUCUCCUGGUCCAACAGAAAACAGUGGAGGGGCUAGGAGAAAUGUACCAUAAGGCAGUACUUUUGUCCAGGAUUUAUGACUGGUAACACACAAACACAGAGAAGCAAUGGGUUAAGAUCGAAGACUAUCUUCAGAAUAUCAAUAUACACCAUCCCAUGGCAUAAAUCAGGCCACUCCUUCCUUAAACAUUCACAUCACCCGACUUUUACUCCUACGCUACAAUUAUGGUCAUACAUCAGACAUAAUCAAGAAAUCUCACCCUUCCCCUCCACACUCUCUCCAAUAUCCCACAACCCUCUAUUCAAACCAGAGGAAACAGACAGGGCCUACAGAGACUACCACACAGCAACAUACUUGCCCCUCCAUGCUUUGCUUAACGAAUAUGGUAUCAAGCCUCUAGCAAACCUGAUACCCACCACGGCGCACAGCGUGCUUCAAAAAUUUAAUUACGACCAACUUGUUAAUUUUAUAAUCUCAAAACACCUCAUCCUACUUUGUCUAAAUUCUAAAACCUGUGUCCCACACAAAUCUUAAAGAAGAAACAUGCCUCUACUAUGUAUACCCUUUUACAUACACAACAGGGCCAACCUCUACGAUUCAAUGGACUCAGGAGCUACGAAUUUCUCUUACUUCCGAGAACUGGAAAAAUAUUUUCCUAUAGAUCUUAGUAUAACCUUGCCAUGCAAGAGAGCAAUUAAAAAUUAUCACGAUGGAUCUACACCCCUGCAAGGCUACACAAACUUUACCCCAACUCAGUAGAUACCUGCUGGAGGUAUCAUCAACACAACUGCACGACUGCACAUAUUUGUUGGCAAUGCCUUGUUGUAACCAAUUUCUGGCAACGAAUCUCAGCGUACGUUCAUUCCAUCACAGGCACGAAACUCUCUCUGACAACUGAAGUUGUUAUACUCUUACUUGUACCGACUUCCCUAACCAAAUUUAAACUUCCUUUAACUAAACAUCUUCUGCCUGCAGCCAACCAGCUCAUUACAGCCUUCAGAAGAGAAAGCCAGCCCCCUACUGUAGGGGAUUGGAUACAGAAGGUGGAACAUUUUAGAAUAUUGGAAGAAAUGUGAUAUUGAAUGUCACAUAAAAAAAAAAAGUGUAAAAUGAAAGGAAUAUUAAAAUAAUACACAUACUAAAGGAAGUUUCACAAAUUGUAGUUAUAGGUAAAAUAAGCUUAAUUUUAUUGAUAAUGAUAAAAAUAAAGAAGGACUCAAUGGGGAAUUUUGUUCAUAGAUGUCCAAAAUAGACUUUGACAUUAUAUUAAAUUAUAGCCACACAAAUAUAAAAGAAUGAUGAUAUAUGGAAAUAUUUAUGUAUUUGGAAAUAUAAAACAUAUCCCUUUAAAUAGUAAGGGAAUAGUUUUUCAUAUUUUGUAUAUGGUUGCUUGCAGAGUCUCUAUCAUACUAUAUAUUAAUAAUGUUAUAUGAAGAAUGCACUUAUAAAAUUGUAUAAACAUGAGGAGAAAUAUGAUAAAUAAUUGAUAAAAAGGGAAAGUGUGCUUAAAAGUAUUUCAUUUAUAUGUUUUUAUUCCUCCUCCAUGCCUAUCUCAUGUACAAUACAUCAAUUUCAAAUUGUCCCGUUAUUGUGGACCGGAUGUGGAACGUAAGAAACACAGCAUCAUUGAAAAAAUCCUGUGGAGCGCACGUCUGACGUCCGAAAUGGAACGUGAUGACGUCACAUACCCGGAACCAGGAAGUGAUCGCAAUCUAAUCGGGAGCAGCUGAAUUUCAUCGGAGAAACACAUGAGUGGACGUUAUGAACUGAUUAUGGGGUGUAUUUAAGAGGGAGGGAGGGGGAAUGGUUUUUAUUUAUUGUUAUACCUGUCACACUGCUGCAAAGUCCCUGAGGAAGUCCCUGGAGUGGGAGGAAACGCGUUGGACAGAUUGUGGACAGUUUCAAUUAAUUUUUAUGCUGACUGAUCCUUACCUAUGUGUAAGUAAUAAAUGUUUUUUAUACUUUGCGCACAUCUUUCUACUUUUCAUUCUGGAUGCAUUUUAUUUUUCUAUGUUAUUGAGAUCUGGAAGACCAUACAUUGGAAUUAGAAAACUGCCUUAGAGCUACAUGGAUUUUUGAUACGCCCUGUUUUAACAGUCAAAGUGUGAGUGAUCCAUUUGGCACAUAUCACUAUUAUAAGAGUAUCAUACGGAGUUGCACUAUGUUAUCUUUUAUUUCCCUAUUGUUGGAUUGACCCAUAUUUGUAUACAUGUACAGGCCUGUCUGAAGUUUGCCAAUGAACAUCUCACUUGGUGAAAGUGUUGUGGUCAGAUGAGACCAAAAUCAAGCUCUUUGGCAUCAACUCAACUCGCCGUGUUUGGAGGGGGAGGAAUGCUGUCUACAACCCCAAGAACACCAUCCCCACCGUCAAACAUGGAGGUGAAAACAUUAUGCUUUGGGGUUCUGAUAAGGGGACAGAACAACUGCACUGCAUCAAAGGGACGAUAGACGGGGCCAUGUACCGUUAAAUCUUGGGUGAAAACCUCCUUCCCUCAGCCAGGGCAUUGAAAAUGGGUCGUGGAUGGCUAUUCCAGCAUGACAAUGACCCAAACCACACAGCCAAGGCAACAAAGGAGUGGCUCAAAAAGAAGCACCUUAAGGUCCUGGAGUGGUCUAGCCAGUCUCCAGACCUUAAUCCCAUAGAAAAUCUGUGGAGGGAGCUGAAAGUUCGAGUUACCAAACAUCAGCCUCAAAACCUUAAUGACUUGUUAGUGUAGGACCCCCGUAAGAGGUUUGCCUUGAUGUGGCAGGGGAGCUUACAUCCAAUGACCAUUGGAGUGAAACAAAAACAUCCAUUUCUUUAAAUAUGCAUAGGGAUUUGGGACAGUGCGCAAGUAACUGCUCUUUGGUUUUUAUUGUAUGUAUUGGGGCUGAUGUGUACUGUGGUUAUUGCUGCCACUGAGGAGUAGUGGGAGUCUGAGCUCAGGACUUAUUUUUGUGUAUUUGUAUUACUCAUAAAGUGCCAGCAAAUUCCUUAACACAGCACUUACAAUAGAACCAUACACGGACACUGACUACAUCCCACAUUUCUUUUCAGCCUCUCAUUCAAUAUUUCUCUCUACUUCUACUUCUGCCAGUCUCUCCUCCUGCUUUAUUCUUGUCUCUUUUUCCAGUGUCUUUCUGUCUGUCUCAUGCUGCAUGUUCUGCAACUUUAUGUCUUUCCUACUGUCUCUAAGCAAGCCUUUGUCAUUUUCUUCCCACUGUCUCCACCAGUACGUGUCUCUGUGUGCUGAAACUAUUUGCUUGUAGGGGUUUUGCAUGUAUGUGAUAACUGCAUGCGUGUGCAGGCUGCUUCUAGUGAUGUGUGUGUGGUCAUAGGAUGUGUGUAGCCAUAAACUGUGUAUGGUGUGUGUGUGGAGGGAGAGAGGGGGGCUGUAUCUGUUAUGUGUAUGGAUGUGGGGGCAACUGUAUGUGUUAUGUGUGUGGGCACAGGUGGUGUGGGGGAGGCUGUAUGUGUUAUAUGUGUGGGCAUAGCCUGUGAGUGGUGCUGGCUGCAAGUUUGUGGGCAGGGAGAUGUAGUAGAUUCUCGGGUAUUUUGAGAAUAUUAGAGAAACCUGAAAGAUCAUGCUGUCAGAGUGGGCGGAUUAUAGGUUGCAGAUACUGAGAUGCAAUAGUACAUGAGAGGCUGGCUACAGCGGAAAAUGAAAUUAGCAGUGAAAUAGUUAAUAUCAGAUUAUUAUGACUGAAGGGCAGAGGGGGUUUCUGCGGAUGGCGCAUACCAGCGGUGAAAUAGUUAAUAUCAGAUUAUUAUGGUAGAAGUGCAGUAGGUUUUAGGAGUUGGGAUAUACACUGCUCAAAAAAAUAAAGGGAACACAAAAAUAACACAUCCUAGAUCUGAAUGAAUUAAAUAUUCUUCUGAAAUACUUUUUUCUUUACAUAGUUGAAUGUGCUGACUACAAAAUCACACAAAAAUUAAAAAAUGGAAAUCAAAUUUUUCAACCCAUGGAGGUCUGGAUUUGGAGUCACACUCAAAAUUAAAGUGGAAAAACACACUACAGGCUGAUCCAACUUUGAUGUAAUGUCCUUAAAACAAGUCAAAAUGAGGCUCAGUAGUGUGUGUGACCUCCACAUGCCUGUAUGACCUCCCUACAAUGCCUGUGCAUGCUCCUGAUGAGGUGGCGGAUGGUCUCCGGAGGGAUAUCCUCCCAUAACUGGAAUAAAGCAUCUGCCAACUCCUGGACAGUCUGUGAUGCAACGUGACGUUGGUGGAUGGAGCGACACAUGAUGUCCCCGAUGUGCUCAAUUGGAUUCAGGUCUGGGGAAUGGGCAGGCCAGUCCAUAGCAUCAAUGCCUUUGUAUUUCAGGAACUGCUGACACACUCCAGCCACAUUGUCUUGCAUUAGGAGGAACCCAGGGCCAAGCGCACCAGCAUAUGAUCUCACAAGGAGUCUGAGGAUCUAAUUUCGGUACCUAAUGGCAGUCAGGCUACCUCUGGUGAGCACAUGGAGGGCUGUGUGGCCCCCAAAGAAAUGCCACCCCACACCAUUACUGACCCACUGCCAAACUGGUCAUGCUGGAGGAUGUUGCAGGCAGCAUAACGUUCUCCACGGCGUCUCCAGACUCUGUCACGUUUGUCACAUGUGCUCAGUGUGAACCUGCUUUAAUCUGAAAGCACAGGGCGCCAGUGGCGAAUUUGCCAAUCUUGGUGUUCUCUGGCAAAUGCCAAACGUCCUGCACGGUGUUGGGCUGUAAGCACAACCCCACCUGUGAAAGUCGGGCCCUCAUACUACCCUCAUGGAGUCUGUUUCUGACCAUUUGAGCAUACACAUGCACAUUUGUGGCCUGCUGGAGGUCAUUUUGCAGGGCUCUGGCAGUGCUCCUCCUGUUCCUCCUUGCACAAAGGCGGAGGUAGCGGUCCUGCUGCUGGGUUGUUUCCCUCCUCCACGUCUCCUGAUGUACUGGCCUUUCUCCUGGUAGUGCCUUCAUGCUCUGGACACUACGCUGACAGACACAGCAAACCUUCUUGCCACAGCUCGCAUUGAUGUGCCAUCCUGGAUGAGCUGCACUACCUGAGCCACUUGUGUGGGUUGUAGACCCUGUCUCAUGCUACCACUAGAGUGAAAGCACCGCCAGCAUUCAAAAGUGACCAAAACAUCAGCCAGGAAGCACAGGAACUGCGAAGUGGUCUGUGGUCACCACCUGCAGAACCACUCCUUUAUUGGGGGUGUCUUGCUAAUUGCCUAUAAUUUCCACCUGUUGUCUAUCCCAUUUGCACAACAGCAUGUGAAAUUGAUUGUCACUCAGUGUUGCUUCCUAAGUGGACAGUUUGAUUUCACAGAAGUGUGAUUGACUUGGAGUUACAUUGUGUUGUUGAAGUGUUCCCUUUAUUUUUUUGAGCAGUGUACAUACCAGCAAUGAAAUUGUUAAUAUUCCAUUAUUCCCUGGAGAGCUGGAUAUUAUUUCUUUAGCCUGUACUCUACAUUAUUUUGCAAGUGUUAAAUGUGGAUAAGAAAUUAAAGCUAAAUUUACAGGGGAAAAAAGAAGCCCCAAACAGCAAUUAAAGAAAGGGUAAUAAAACAUACUUUUAUUAUUUUAUUUAAAACAUCAGUCUGGAAACAGCAAGGGGGAAAAUACCAGAUAGAUUAUGCUAACGCGUUUUGUGCUUUAGAACUUCAUCACCUGUGGAGCUAUCUACCAUCUAAUGUACCCCAACAGUUCAACUAAUAGGACAUUCCCAGUAACUAUUGCUGGGGAGGAAGGAUAGUAAUUUUGCUUGCUUUUUUACUUAGCAGAGUGAUGAUCGUGAUUAUAUUUGACAGUUUUAAUAAAACAGUCACACUGUACUGAUAAAUGAUCUAGUGGUGUGACUGGUUUGAUAAUACCGUGAGGUGUUUUUUUUAAUUAUAUUGCAAGGAUUCUUUCUAAGAAUUGUUUGCAACAAUAAGCUGAACAGUGAACUGCAGGUAAAUGAAAAGCUAAAUGAAAAUAACAUUUGUUUAAUUAAAGCCAACAUUUUUUUGAGUUCAGCUACCUUCUCAUUUAUCACAUUUUGGCCUAAAUUUAGGAAAUUCAGGUUUGAGUUCCACACAAAUUACUGUUUAGUGUACAGACCUCAUUGCAUUUUGUUGCUUAUAAAAAAUGUUGCUUGUUUUUACUGAAUUCCUAGUGUGGUUGUAUUAGUUUAACAAAAUGCAAUGAUUUACAUAACUCCCAACAGUCUCGGGUUAUCUGAGACAGUCCCAAAUUUGAGCUCCUGUCUCACUGUCCUAAGUUUGCUCUCUUGUGUCCUGAAUGUGCAUUCAGCUGAUUGGCAGUAUAUUUCAGACAUUCAUAUAUAUAAAUUGUAUUUAGUGGUUAUGGUGCUUAAAUCGCUCUUCCAACUAAUAUUAGCUUUGCCCACCCCCGACCAUAUGUCUCAUAUUUCCCAUAUUUCUGACCAUGUUCCACCUAUUUAUGUUACACCCACUAAACUUUUUAGAGGGAAAUGGUCACUUUCCUGGAUUUUAAAAAUUAUGUUUACUUAUAUCUAUAGUUUAACAAAUAUGUAUUUAUAAGGUGUGAAUAAUAAAAUUAAAGGUAGAAAUAUACACCUCUUUUUCUUGCAACUGGGUUCCUCCAUCUUGGCUCCCUGUCAUUCAUUGUUGUAAGCUCUGUCCUUUGCACCUAUCAGUUAGCAUAGACCAGGGGUAGGCACCCAGAGGCGGCUCUAGACGUUAUGAGGCCUUAGGCGAAACUCAAACAGGAGGCCCCACUAACAUGAAGCUGAGGGUGGUGGGGGUGUGGUGAGGCUGAGGGUGGUGGGGGAGGUGGUGGGGGGUGGUGGGGCUGGUGGGGGGGGGUGAGGCUGAGGGUGGUGGUGAGGCUGAGGGUGGUGGUGGGGUGGUGGUGGGGUGAUGCUGAGGGUGGUGGGGGGUGAGGCUGAGGGUGGUGGGGGGUGGCUGAGGGCGGUGGGGGGGGAGGCUGAGGGUGGUGGGGGGUGAUGCUGAGGUGGUGGGGGAGUGGAGAGGCUGAGGUGAGGGUGGUGGUGAGGGGGUGGGGUGUUGAGGGGGGGGCGUGGAGAGGCUGAGGGUGGUGGGGGGUGGAGAGGCUGAGGGUGGGGGAGGGCUGAGGGUGGUGGGGGUGGUGAUGUGGUGAGGGGGUGGUGAGCCAUGAGGUGGGGUGGUGGGUGGGGGGGUGAGGCUGAGGGGUGUUGGGGGGUGGUGAGGCUGAGUGAGGGAGUGAGGGGGAGGGUGGUGGGGGGGAGGUGGGGUGAGGCUGAGGGGUGAUGCUGUGGGGUGGUGAGGCUGAGGGGUGAUGCUGAGGGGUGGAGGCUGAGGGGUGGGGGGGUGAGGCUGAGGGUGGGGGGUGGUGAAGUGAGGGUGGUGGGGGGUGAUGAGGCUGAGGGUGGUGGGGUGGUGAGGGUGGUGGUGGGGGGUGAUGCUGAGGGUGUGGGGGAGUGGUGAGGCUGAGGGUGGUGGGGGGUGGGUGGCUGAGGUGUGGUGGGGGGUGAUGAGUGAGGGUGGUGGGUGGUGAGGGUGGGUGGUGGUGAGGUGAGGUGAGGUGAGGGUGAGGCUGAGGGUGGUGGGGUGUGAGGCUGAGGCAGGCUGAGGGGUGGGGGGGGUGAGGCUGAGGGUGGUGGGGGGUGGUGAAGCUGAGGGUGGUGGGGGUGGUGAGGCUGAGGGUGGUGGGGGUGAUGAGGCUGGAGGUGGGGUGAGGCUGAGGGGAGGGGUGAGGCUGAGGGUGGUGGGGAGGUGGCUGAGGUGGUGGGGGUGGGUGAAGUUGAGGGUAGUGGGGGUGGUGAGAGGGUGGUGGGGGUGGUGAAGCUGAGGGGUAGUUGGGGUGAUGAGGCUGGGGUGGAGGGUGAGGCUGAGGGUGGUGGGGGUGGUGAGGGGUGGUGGGGGUGUGAGGCUGAGGGUGGUGGGGGGUGGUGAGGCUGAGGGGGGUGAGGGGAGUGGUGAGGCUGAGGGAGGUGGGGGGUGAGGCUGAGGGAGGUGGGGGGUGAGGCUGAGGGGGGUGUGAGAGAGCCUACCUUUACUCCCUGGUGGUCCGGUGGCCAUUACUUCCGGUCUGCAGCUCCACAGAGACACAUGGUCUGCAGCUCUGCUCACUGUGGAGCUACAGACCGGUGUCUGCGGUAGCUGGCUGGGCACUGGCAGCCAGGAGGGGCGUCGCACGCGGUGGCAUACUGGGCAAGCCGCCGGGCCCCCUCCUGGUGUCAGGACCUGACACAGUCUGCGCACAGGCAGCCUAAACCGCCUAAUUAGAGAGCCGCCUCUGUAGGCACCCUUUUAGUAGUACUAUGCCAAAACAAAAUUUUUAAGUCUGUCUGCAGGCCGAUCCUCUUUUUUUUUAAACUGAGGUGUGCAUGUUGCUGUAUUUUACUUUACUGUUAUUUAUGGGGUCUGCAGUUGCUUUGUACCGUUGUACUUGUGUAUAUGUAGCCUGUUAUAUUGUAUAGCACAUGUUCAUGAGUAGUUUGUGGUAUUGUGUAUGAUAUCUAUGAAUGUGAGAUGUGUAUGGGGGCUGCUUAUGGAAUUGUGUGUGUGGAUGGAUAUGUCACGUGUGUUUAGUGUGUAUGUGUGGGGCUGCUUGGGGUAUUGCAUGUGGGGUUUUGCGCGUGUAUGUGAAUUGUCAGUGGCGUUGUGGUUGUGGGGACUGUGUGUAUUUGGGCUCUUUGUAUUAUUUGUAUGAGGGGAGGCUUAUUCUGCAGCUCUGUGUAUAUCUAGCAGUGUGGGUGGCUUCCCUGGGAUCUAUUGGGACCAGGCUGGCCUGGUAUAGGUUAAGGGCAGGGGCUGCGAUAGCUUCUGCGGGCUGCUCUACUCCAGUGCAGAUUCCGGUUCACAAUUUCUAGGAUGAAGUGAUCUCAGAUUACUUCCUCUAAGUGCUGCAAUGCGUAAAUUAAGGAUUGCCCUUCACCACUCAGUUUGCACUAAGGACACCUGAUAGGCCAGAGUCUUUUUGGCUCUGGCAGCUUUAAAUGCCAUACAAUGGAACCUAGAGUGCCAUGCAUGGCACAUGUGCUGUAGGUUGCUGACCCCUGGCAUAGACAAAGUUUACUGUAAAGAGGAGAGAUUAAACAAAGCUACUGUAACGGACCGUUUUGCACACAAGGGGUAAAAACAGUUUAGGCGAUCGGCCCCCUUUCCAGAGAUACAGGCACAGAUACUGCAGAACACCAGACUCCCGAACUGGAUACAAAAUAGCACUCCAACUCCUGAACUGGAACCUCCCAAAUAGCUGCUAGCAGACGAACAGGAAAAGCAGACAAUCAGCUUACACUCCUGGCAAUCAGUCUCUAACAGCAUACAGUGAAUCCCCCCAAGACGAGACAAGGCUCCGUGUUGAGGGGUCAAGCAGUGGUCUGAGGUGCUGGCACACCCAGCCUGGUUUUUAUUACAGUCUUGCAAAUACAGGACCGCCCACAGGGAGGUAUAAAACAACCAAUCACAUCACAGUUACAUCCCACAUAUUCCCUCCCCUUAUCCUGAGAGGAAACUCAAUUACACAUACAGUUAAAACAUACUUUCUACCCAACUUUCAUAACUCUAAAACCAUACAUCACAUUCACAUAAAAUUACAUAUUCACAAUCAAUCCAUUCAGGGGAGCAACAUAUUAAAAAAUGGCACAAAUCAGACAAGGGGUUCAAAAGUUAGUAAAAAGUCCUUUGUGACUAAAUGAAGCAUGGCUUUCUGGCCCAAACCAGUUUCAGAGUCUUCUAUCCUGGAGAUAAGUAAUUCAAUUAUCUCCCAGGACAGACACAAGACUCCAUUAAGCACAUGGUUGCAAAAAGACACAAAACACUUUAAAAUACAUAAAGUCACAUUUAUUACAUAAAACACAGACAUGUAACAUAUCCCCAGAUAGCUCAGGUCCAAGCGCACAUUAUUAAGCGAAUGGCGCUCAGACCACACGAAUACAGUUUAAUCGCCAUGGAGCCAAAGUCUUUACAGUCAGUUUUAUAUGAAUGGGCUCCAUGGGAUUCCUAUCUGGGGUGUAACACAUUCAAACAAAUCUACCGAACCCCAGGCAGAAAAGCACGAAUGAAGCUUUUCUGCAGGUAAAAAAGAUGUCUUUUAACAGGGGGCCAUAGUCCAAAGGCAGCAGGCGAGCAACCAGGCUUCUCCAAUGCAAUGUGGCAAGAUUGGUCUCGUCACAGCUACUAUAUCCUGCCCGGACUUUGCCUUGUCUUAAAGGAAUUGUAUGGACACCAUAACAAUUUUAUUGAAUUAAAGUUCUUAUGGACCUUCUCUGUGGUGCCAAGAAUGAAUGAGGCAUAAGUAGGCUUUAUCACUAUAUAUCAUUAAUUCGGCUUAUCCCCUGUUACUUUCUACAUGUACUCUGAAACCUUUUGACAUACAGGAAUUUCCUUUGUAUUUUCGGUUAUGAAUCCAGACAUUUCCCUUGUAGAAGUCUUGUAUUUGUCUCCCACAGAACACAGUUUUGUGUGGUUGCCUUGGAAGUGUCAGCAGCGAUCCGCACAUCACGUCUCGUUUUCAGACAAUGCCUGCUGCUUUCUAUUCUUAUCCCUGCCAGGCGAGAAUCAAAAGCAUGGAGCUUGUUAAAGGAACAGAUCAUACGUGGGCCUCUAAUAGAAUUAAAGUACUACGGCAAUUAAUAUACUCUAAACUCAUUAACAGGGUUUCACUAAUUAGCCCAGCUCAUCUGUGUUGACAGUUUUUAACGGUUACGCCUGUAAAAAACUAAAUUUUCACGUAAAAUAUUGGAUUUCUAUUUAGCAGCGAACAGUAACAUGAAGAAUUGAAAGUGCAUGUUAUUUUUUAUUAACUUUUGUGUUGUGUGAAAAACAAUCACUAACUCACAUUUGUUCUAUUCAAUCAUUCCACAACCAUAUAAAAAAAAAGCAAUAUGCUUAAACAAAAAUAAUACGGGAAAAUGUGUGAACCGUAACUAUUUUUAUUAAAUGGGCAUCAGGCUCCCACAUAUUUCAGGUGCACUGUAUAAGCUAUAGUUAGUAAUGUUUUUUAUUAAUCUUACUUAGUUCCUUGAAAAUUAGUUUUGCUCUAUAAACCCAGCCUCCUUCUCUCAAACUGUGGUAUGUCUCAUAGGGGUGCGCACGGGGUGUGCCGGGUGUGCUGGGGCACACCCUAACCAGGGGAGACUCUCUAAUUAGGUGGUUGAGGCGGCCCCCUAAGGCCUCGAGCUGUCUGGGGCCUCACGGUCGCCUAAUCCCCCUUAGGGCAGACUGUGUUAGGUCCUCGGACCCGACACCAGGAGGGGGCCCGGUGGCUUGCUCUGGAUGCCACCGGGUGCAAGACCCCUCCAGUCUGCCAAGAGGAGAGCACCCAUCGCAGACUACUAGUCUGCAGCUCCGCAGUGUAAAAUUUUCUAUAUUUUUUUACAGUGUGCCCCUCUCAAGCAAUAUCCCUUCCUUAAUUCUAGGGGAUUUCAACAUUCCCAUUAACUCACCCUUGUACUCAGUAGCCUCAAAACUUAUUUCAAUCACCUCCUCCUUUCGGCCAUUGCAAUGGGCUAAUUCUCCCACAUAUGUAGUUGGCAAUACCCUAGAUCUUAUUUUUUCAAAUGCUGUAGACCAUGUAUCUCGUGACAGUUGGCCAAUCAGAGCAUUGCCGUGGGUUACCACCAGGGAGCCCACCGGACCACCAGGGAUUGAAGACACUGGACCACCAGGGAAAGGUAUUUAAUCUCACCCCCUCCCUCUCUGUAUCCCCCCUCACUAUCACCCCCUCCAGUAUACCCCUCUCUCCCAGUGACCCCCUUUACUAUAAACCCCUUCAAUAUACUCCCUUCAGCCCCACAAUUACCCCCUCCCUCCCAGUAUCUCCCCUCACUAUCUCACCCCUCCCAGUAUACCCCCUCCCACACCACCAUUACCCCUCCCUCCCAGUAUCCCCCCUCACAUUAAGUAUACUCACAUACACACACAUAUAUACACACCUGGCAUGUGUGUUUGUGCUUUAGGGUGCACACCCUUAUGCAAUAGGCAAUGCCUAUGGUAUUUCUCUUUUAGCUUUACAAAUACAGUCCUACAUAACUUCAAGCUAACAAAUAAAACUACAACUCACAGCAACUGCCUAUGGGAUAUACUCAACACUGCUAUGCUAAGGUAAAGGAGCACUCCAAGUACCAUAACCACUACAUCCCACUGUAGUGGUUAAAGUGCCAGGAGUACACCUCCAAAUAUCGGGAGGUAUGAGAUGGGGAGGGGGGCCGUGUCCAGUGAUGCAACUGCCUGAAGGAGUGUGUCAGCCUGGUGCCAAAAACUCCAGACUGAUUGACUGCCUUACCGGCCUGCCCGAAACAGUGCAGCACUGCUAAAGAACUCUCUGCAUGGUUCUAGUGCACGCCGUUUGCCAACAAAUGUGGAUUCUGCCGGCACUGCUUUCUGGAUUCUUUUUGCAUGGGAACCCAGACAGCUCUCCUGAGUUAGGCAGUGCCAUGCACUGUCUCACUUACUGGCAGAGCACGUCCACAUGACCCUAUAUUGUGCUUAGCUUAGCUUCUUCUGCAGGAGAAAACUGGAUGCAGGUCCGGGGCUCUAGCCAAGCUGUUAACCCGUGCUGAAAUGGUUUGACAAAUUAUUCAUGGGGCCAGGGCACUCCUCUCACCUAAACCACCACAUUGGGGCUGUAGUGGUUAUUGUGUCAUGUUUGAUCCUGAGGAAAGUCCGAAUGCGGGACUGAAACAUCGAUCUAUUUGAAUGAAUACUUAAUAAAGACUUGAAGUUUUAACCGGAGACCGUGAGUGCAGCUUUCUCUACUUUUUACACACACACACAUAUAUAUAUAUAUAUAUAUAUAUAUAUAUACACUGAACAGCCACAAUAUUAAAACCAUCUGGCUAAUAUCGCACUGCCAAAAUAACUCUGAUGUAUUAAGGCAUGGACUCCACAAGAGCUUGGAAAGUGUCCUGUAGUAUCUGCACAAGAUAUGAGCAGCAGAACUUUUAAGUCCUGCAGGUUGUGAGGUGGGGCCUCCAUUGAUUGGAUUUGUUUUUCCACAUCCCACAGAUGCUUAAUCGGAUUGAGAUCUGGGGAAUUUUAAGGCCAAGGCCUUCAACACUUUAAACUCUCUGUCAUGUUCCUCAAACAAUUCUUGAACAUUUUUUUCAGUGUGAAAGAGGCCACUGUCAUCAAUAAACACCAUUGGCAUGAAGGUGUGUACGUGGUCUACAACAAUCUCUAGUUAGAUGGUACAUUUCAAAGUAACAUCCACAUGAAUACCAGGACCCAAGAUUUACCAUACCGUUGCCUCUGCCGGCCUGCCUUCUUCUCAUCUUCUCUUCCCCAGGUAAAUGAUGCACACUCACCAAGCCAUCCACAUGAUCUAAAAUAAAAUGUGAAUAAUCUUAUCAGGAAACGUUCUUUCAUGCUCCAUGGUCCAGUUCUGACACUCAUGUCCCCAUUGAAGGCCCAUUCGGUGGUGGAUAGGGGUCAUCAAGGGCACUCUGACCAGUCUGUGGCUACGCAGCCCCAUACGCAGCAAACUGCGUAUUCUGUGACCUUUAUAUCAUGUCCAGCAUUGAAGCAUGAAGUUUUUCAGCAUUUUGAGCUACAGUAGCUCUUCUGUGUGAUUGGACCAGACGGGCUAGCCUUUGCUCACCUCGUGCAUCAAUGAGCCUUGGGUGCCCAUGACUUUGAUGCCUGUUCAGCGGUUGUUAUUCCUUGCAGCACUUUUGGUAGGUAAUAACCAAUACAUACUGGGAACAUCCCAGCACCCCACCAGACUUGCCUUUUUGGAAAUGCUCUGACCGUCAUCUAGCAAUCAAAAUUUGGUAAUUGUCAAAGUCACUCAGCUCUUUUCACUUACCUAUUUUCUGCUUCUAACACAUGAAAUUCAAGAUCUGGCUGUUCAGUUGCUGCCUAAUAUAUCCCAUCAUUGACAGGUGCCAUUGUAACAAUGCAAUCAAUUUUGCAGUGGGUAUAAAGUUUAGAGUCUCUUUUCAAUAAAAUAUGUAGCAAAAUAUUCCACCAGUUUAUAGUCUGAAAAUAUUUCCUUAUUCCUUUAAUUAAGUGUAAUAAUGGUGAUUGUUUAUUUGCUUUUUAGGUAGCCUUUUAGGUAGAUUAUUUUAUUGUACGUGCUGUCGAGAUUAUAGUUUAAUUGGGGGAUAAGUCAAAAUGCAGUUAUUCUGGAAUGGCCAUUAUAGACUAACCCUUUCCAAAUUAUAAGCCACUGUAGGUGACAGUAUUUGCGUAUGAGCAAUGCUGGCUUAUUUUCCAAGUGCAUAUUUUUUCAGACGAUUCUUCAGUUUCUCAUCAGUGAAGAUUCCAUUGUUUAAACUCUUUGCUCUGGUUCUGGUGAGAAUGAGAAGUUCUGAGAAGAUGAAAUUACUGUCCAGUAAAUAGUAAGGAAGGCUGCAGAGCUACUGUUUCAGCACCGUUACAGAAGAAGGUAUUGCACAGGGAGGGUAAAAUGCCUCUGUCGCAGGAUACAGAACCUGUGUGUAGGCUAAAUUAUCAACCUGUCUUUGAAACAUGUAUGCCUGUCAUUUCCCACACCUGGUAUAUAUCUUACAUAGACCUUUAACUGCAUACUCUGCUGGUAUUUUGGGAAUAUGAAAUCCCCAAAAAUACCAGCAAAUUCUUUAGAAAUAUUUAUGAGCAGCUGUGCACAAAAAUAGGUUUGCAAUCGAUUAAGUAAGAGUAUUCAAGAACAAGGUAGGGAAUUGCCUAUAAUGUCUAAUUACAUAGCUAUUUGCAUAGCAGUUCGGUGCUUAUAUGUUUGUGAUACAAGGGAGCUCUUUUCCCACAAAACAAAUUUGCAAUCCGUGGCUCCAGGAGCUCCAGUAGAAAAAUUCUCCUUUUCCGUGUUUCCAGAGCUGCCACUUCAUUUUGAAAGGAACUAAUAUUGGUUUUUGUUUCUUUUUAAUACCCAGAAGCAAAAUAUGUGUGAAUUUUCUAAAUAUUCUACUAUAACACUUACUGUAAAGUUUAUAUUCACCGUUCUGUGCCAAUUACACCGACGCUCUCUUGAAAGGCUUGCAACACAUGGGAUGCCAUAUAAUCUCUGCUUUGUUCUCCCUAAAUAUCUCUGCAAAUAUGAACAUCUAAAAUGAAACAUAAUUUUUCUAUAAAAGUAACAAUUUUUAUUACUUGUGUUGUCCCUGAACUGCAAUCUAUAGAUGUAGUUGUUGUUUUGUUAUUAUUUCACAUGCUAGCUAAUUAUCCUGUGUUUCAAAAAUUGUACACACUACAUCAUGAUAUUGAUGUUUAUCAAAACAGCAGAUAAUUUACGAGGUGCCUGUAAAACUACUUAUUCAGGGCAGUUGUUCAAUCAAUACUGACCUGAAGUAUGAAUAUUACAUGUACAUUUAAAGAGACAGUAUAGGCACCAACUGUCACGGUAGUUUACCCCUACACGCAAGAUUUAGUUCAACAAUCGACAGAGCAGAUACGACUUACCGGACCUUAGAAUGGCCGGACUCGCCGUAUAGCAGAGAAUAGACAGAGUCAAGAACAAGCCGAGGUCAAGGGAACAAAGAGACUGAGAGAACAAAAUCUAGCCAAGGUCUGGUACACAGUAGUCAGUAAGCCAGCAAACAAGACAAAACAGGGAUAGAGAGAUAAACGGAGUCAGAUACAAAGCCAAGGUCAAGCAAGAAAAUCACAACUGAACACAACAAGCGCUAAAGGGAACUGAAACAGAAACCACAAUAGGGCAGGGAGUUAAGGGAGAGGUAAGUAUAAAUACCCUAAACUUUACUUUGAUUGGCCCCUGUCAUAUCCACGCCAAAAUGUGAGUGUCUGGGGAAUGUGGGAUGACGGGGGCCAAUGGUAGCACAUUUCAUUUUUUGGCUCCCACUGCCCCUUUAAGAGCGUGCCCGAGAUGCGCAGCAUGCUCUUAGAGCUAGGCGGGACACGUGACCGCAUCUCUCUCAGUCGAGAGCCGCGUGCGGCGGGAAGAGAGGACCUCGGCCGGCCCCCAGGUAAGGUGAGUACCGCUACACCAACACAGCUUUAGCCUAAUUAAGUGAUUUUGGUGUAUAGAUUAUGCCUCUGUAGUCUCACUGCUCAUUUCUCUGUAAUGUAGGAGGUAAAUCUCUUUAUUUAUACAGCCCUAGUCACACCUCCCUGUGUGUGACUUGCACAGCACCUAAACACUUCCUGUACAGAGUCAUGCAAUAUUUACACAUUCCUUAUUGAAUCUUUAUAAUUUCUCAUCUCUUGCUCUGUUGUUAACCUUUUAGACCCUGCAGGAGCCAACUGUGUGUGUGAUUAAAGUUCAAUUUACAGAGCAGGAGAUAAAAACUCCUAAAACAAGUUAACAUUUGAUUGAAAGUGAAAGUGUUUUUUUCAUGCAACCUGUGUGAGUCACAGCCAAUGGAGGUGUGGCUGGGUCUGCAUGAACAGAAACAAAAGUGAUUUAACUCCUAAAUGGCAGAGAAUUUAAACUGUAGGAGCAUGAUUUAUACACUGAAACUGAUCCAUUAAGAUAAAGGUGUUUUGGUGACUAUAGUAUCAUUUUAAAUAAAAUAAUAAAGGCCUCCCCUCCCCCCAAGCAGGAGUGGGGACAUGGUUGCUGCCACUGCGGUAGUCACAGCCACCAAAAAUUUAUACUACGGAUGUGACCUUAUCUAGACCAAGGGUUCUUAGGAGAAGCUGACAGGCAACACCCGGACACUGUGGAGGGAGCCUGUCACCCACCCACCCUGUCGCUGCUGGUUUAUAGUACUGUAUUGGUUGUUUGUUGUUGUUUUUCUGUUCUUGUUUUUGUCACAGCUAGUGGUUUUGCCUCGCCAGAGUAAUGUUUUAAAUAUUUCAUCUCUUUUAACAUAUUUUUAAUGUCCGCCGUAACUGGGCUUGGGGAAUAUCUGCUCUUGGUCGACAGGAUGCAGGUUGCUGGAGACUCUUGAGGAGAUCGUGGGAGAAGCUUUCUACUCGUUUGUUAGCCAGUAGCGGAUAUUAUGUUUAAACGUUGCUGGCAUUUUGACUUGCAAAUAAAGCUCUGCCCAUUGCCCUACCAAAAAAAAAAAAAAAUGGUGUGUUGUUUACAGGGCUGGUGCAAGGAUUUUUGCCACCCUAGGCAAACAAUAAUUUGCCGCCCUCCCUAUGCUCUGCCCACCAUGUGACAUCACAUUGCCCCUCUCAUAUGAUCUGCCAUAUGAGCCAACGCCGGUGCUGUACACAUUGGUUUUUCUCUGAAAAAGGCAGUGUGUUUACAUUAAAAAGCCUGCGUGGACAGGCUAUAGACACCAGAACCACUACAUUAAGCUGUAAUGGUUCUGGUGACUAAAGUGUCCCUUUAAUGUGAGGUAAAUUAGAGAUUAGUAAAAAAGAAGCACAUGGAGAGACAAAAUACACAAAAAAAAAUGGUGUGUUGUUUACAGGGCUGGUGCAAGGAUUUUUGCCACCCUAGGCAAACAAUAAUUUGCCGCCCACCCUAUGCUCUGCCCACCAUGUGACAUCACAUUGCCCCUCUCAUAUGAUCUGCCAUAUGAGCCAACGCCAGUGCUGUACACAUUGUUUUUUCUCUGAAAAAGGCAGUGUGUUUACAUUAAAAAGCCUGCGUGGACAGGCUAUAUACACCAGAACCACUACAUUAAGCUGUAGUGGUUCUGGUGACUAAAGUGUCCCUUUAAUGUGAGGUAAAUUAGAGAUUAGUAAAAAAGAAGCACAUGGAGAGACAAAAUACACAAAAAAAAGAGGCUAUGUGCAAACCAUAUAAACACUUCCUCACGUGUUGAAAGUAUCCAAAUGGUCAUAAACUACAGAAUGCACACUAUAAUCACUGCAAGUAAAAAUAUAUAAUUUAUUAAGUACAGAAACAGUACCACAAAAGAACAAUACAAAAAAAAUAAACAAAAUGACAGUAACAAUGGCAAAUAUAAUAGUAAAUAGUACAAUACCAACAGAACUCCAUAUAGCCCUAGGGCAGAAACACGAGCCACAACAAUCCCCAACGUUUCGGCAACCAACUGCUGCCUUUAUCAAGGAGCAGUUGGUUGCCGAAAAGUUGGGCAUUGUUGUGGCUCGUGUGGCUCAGACACCCUUGAUAAAGGCAGCAGUUGGUUGCCGAAACGUUGGGGAUUGUUGUGGCUCGUGUUUCUGCCCUAGGGCUAUAUGGAGUUCUGUUGGUAUUGUACUAUUUACUAUUAUAUUUGCCCUUGUUACUGUCAUUUUGUUGAAUUUUUUUUGUAUUAUUCUUUUGUGGUACUGUUUUUGUACCUAAUAAAUUAUAUAUUUUUACUUGCAGUGAUUAUAGUGUGCAUUCUGUAGUUUAUGACAAAUUAGAGAUUAAUCUCACUAAUAAUAUACUGGAUUGCCUACUUACCACCAAAUGAGGACAAGAGGAUGAUGAUGGGCUCAGGUUUCAGUCUUGCUCCACUGGUCUGGUGUUAAAACAGGCUCCCUGGAGGCAGUGCUCACAAAUAACAACAAACAGGACCCAGCUCCAUUUUUUUGGGGCCCUUACAGGGCCUGACCGUGAGUAUGUCUACAAGGCCCGCCCAUAAGCCUUAUGCCUUCAAGGCCCACCCAUGAGUUUGCUCACAGGGAGUGGAGUGUAUGUGUGUAGGGGAUGUGUUAUUGUAGAGGAUGUAAUGUGAGUGUGUUCUUAUGGAAUGUAGUGUAGAGGGAUACCAGUUUGUGUAAAGGAUGUAGUGUGUGUGUGUAUAGGGGAUUCAGUGUGUGUUUGUGUGUAAGGGAUGCAUUGUGUAAAUCUGUGUUUGUAUGUGUAAGGGAUGCAAGGUGUGUGUUUCUGUGUGUGUGUGUAUGUAUUUAAUGUAAUGCAGUGUGUGUGUCUUUAAGGGGUACAUUGAGUGUGUGUGUAAGAGAUGCAUUGUGUGUGUAAGGGAUGCAUUGUGUGCUUCUGUGUUUGUAUGUGUAAGGGAUGCAAGGUGUGUGUGUAUGUAUUUAAUGUAAUGCAGUGUGUGUGUCUUUAAGGGGUACAUUGAGUGAGUGUGUAAGAGCUGCAUUGUGUGUGUGUAAGGGAUGCAGUGUGUGUGUAAUGGAUGCAUUGUGUGUUUCUGUGUGUGUAAGGAAAGCAUGGUGUGUUUCUGUGUGAGUGUAGGAUGCAUUGUAUGUUUC
rnacentral:lncRNA from 1 species